CGCUACGCAGCGGCGCCGCGCGGCGCCAGCCCGCCCAGACGGAGCUUGCACUACCUGACGUGAUUGCGCCCGACGGUGGCGGCGCAGCUGGCGUGAUGACGCGACGGCCGUCACAGCGGCCCGGCCGUAGGCACGCCAGCGACCGCGCCUCUGGCCGUCUGAUGAGAGGCCAGAGGCGCGCUCCUACUCUGGGACGGGGCGCCCGCCGGGCCGGCUCGGGCCGGCUCUCGGCUGUGAUCAACUCGCGCGUCGGCCGGUACAUCCACCCGUCGUGGCACCGCCGGGAGGUGGCGAUCCCGCUCUGAAUAUUGUGUGUUUGUGCGUGCGUGCGCGCCUGUCUGUCUGUUUGUCUGAUCGGGUGGGUGCGCGCGUGUGCGUCCGAAACGGCAGAAAGUGCGUCAUUGCUUAUCAUCGACAUCGGAGCACCGGAGACUAGGGAAUGUCGCCUGGAUUUGAGCCCAGGUGUCUCCUGCUUACAAAGGUCUGGUCGCGGUCGUCUGUUCCGGGUGACUCUUCAUCAUCAGCGCGCGGCGACAUGGGCGCAGGCUCUGUCGCCGAUGAACGCUGCACGUCAGAGUGGGUUUCGUGGCCGAUUCAUUCCAUGCCGCAUACGAAUUGCAUUACCAUCACAUGUUGGAUUGCGUGGGCUUUGGCUCGUUUGACGUGCUCUGAGUAGUUGGAAUAAAGCCGUUCAUUGCAGUAGUUGGGAUUUCCUUUCAAGAGUUUGACUGGUACCGUUCCGCGAUUGGGGGCUGGACCAGUGUGGCGCGAGCCUCGUGCAAUGUCGUGGGGAAAGGAACAACUCAGUAUUUAUAGCUCUGGCGGACUUGUGGUUUUUGCGAUUGAAGCGAAGAUCAUGUACGUUGUAGGAUUUUCGGAGCCGGGUACCGGCAGUGCGUCCCUGCCCAUCACGACGUGAGGGUCCAGGGAUACGGAAAGUGCCGACCGAUGCGACGGGCGCGCACCGCGCUCAGCGUACGCGGUCAUUACUGGAGGUGCGAUGCCCCGAGUGUUGCGUACGGGUGAUGUCGCGUCCGGAUGCGGGCGCCGCCCAGCCUGGUCCCGCGUAGUCAGGCCGCAUCCACGGUCUGGGGCCCGACCUGUGACGGCGCGACGCACACGAACGGCGCUGUAGCUGUGUGGAAGCGCACGAAGCCGCUGGCAAGGUGAUUUCGGGUCAAGUGCAAUGGUUUGAUAUAUUUACAGGCCAUACUUGUGUUUGGCGUGGCAUGCGAAAUGCAUCAUUUGCAUGUCCAAUACAGUACCUGCAGAAUCA